UCACGCUGCUCGCCCCGCCCCGCUGGCUCCUUUUCCCUAGCCUAAACUCUCAAGAGCCUCAGGCCAAAGCUGUGCAAGGAGUUGCGGCGGGAAGCGGUUACUUUUUACUAGUUACCUGAGGUUAACCUCAGUCUGGAAGCAGAUGACCCUCCUUCCGAAGAAUUAUUGGAAGGUCAAUAGUAGCCUUACACCAUAUUACAAUGCCUGCAUCAUUCAUGUCACUUUAUCUCAUCACCUGGGCAUUUUGCCAUCUCACACCAUCACGGGAAGGGAAAUAGAAGCAGCUCUGGGCUGAGGACUCAAUCUGCUCUUCCUUUCUGGAUGUAGAGUUCGGGCUCAAUUUCUCCAAGACCAUUAACCCAGUAAUCUGAGCUCAGUGGCUCCAGCAUCCACAUGACUGGAAACAGAAGGGUUUCGCCUCUUGCUGUUGGAGGGGUUUAACACACUGUGGAGCUUAGUGGAUUUCUUUCAGGUUUUGUUUCAGCUGCCAAGAGCUCAGGGACUCAAGCAUUUUAAAAAGCUCAAGGAAUGUCAGAGAAUUGAGAAGGGACCCAGGGAAUUGGUGUUUGCUGAGCUAUUGCUGGUGUGCCUGGGAUGGAGAACAAGGAGGCCUAGAGAUGUGGCCCAUCCUGAAGAUCUGGCUGAGAGGGCUUUGUGCUGCAGGUCUAGCCUCUUUAGUAAUCUUCUCUGGUAAGACACAAGGGAUGGAUAAAAAUGAGCAAUUAUACUUGAGACAGAUCCGUUCCUUCAGUGGCAAUAUAUUUUCCUCACAUGCUUUUCUCUUCACAGCAAGCAAAUGCAUGUGGAGCCAGUGACUAUGAAGUCGGUCAUAUUAAAUUUACUCAGUUUUCUUCAAGUCUUCAAGCGUGAAGCGUUGCAAACCUUCAUAUGUACACUAGGGAAAGAAAGGAAGAAAAAAAAGAACUCCACAGCAAGGCCUAAGGAAAAGGCUGUGGAAAGAAAACAGCAAGAUAAAGCAACACAAUUUCAAAUCUUAAUCUCCUGAAAUGGUGCCUUUAAAGCCGCACUUUCCACAUUUCUGAGUGAAGCCCGUCAAAACUCCGUGUCAAAUCAUGUUAUAACCUUGCUUCUUAUCUGUUUGUGAUAGCUUUCAAGGGCCAGUAAUUCCCCCAUAUGUGGCAGAAAAGUUGAUAGUAGAGAUUUGCGCACUUGACUAAGCUUCCUGCAUUGCUUUUUGUGCAGUGCUGGUGAAGGACAGAGAUUUGUUCUCCCUUUCAGAACUAAACAUGCAACUGCCAACGACACAGUCAAGAAGCGAACCAGAAUCACUCACUUGGUCAGAGAACCCUGACGAAUACAGACUUCAGCACAUCUUUUAGGGGGAUGCAGACCAACCCAUUGCAUGAAACAGUGGCAGUAGCCAAAGAAGACAAAAGUCUGAGAAAGAAUUGGGAGCCGGCAGGCAUGGACAGAAGAUCUACAUUAGGCAUCAUGCCAUGGAUUGUAUUUACUGAGUUAGGGGAUUGGAGGAGAGUGAAGGCAGCUAGAUAUGAGCUUCUCUUUCCAUCUUUGUUUCCAGCCAAGGAAACCAGCUGCAAUUCCAGAGAACACAAAGGGAAGCACUCCAAAACAGGUUGCAAAAUGCCUAGUUCCUGAGCCAGAUGAAAGCGGCCUGUGCUACACGAGAGCUAAAAAAAGAAGAAAGUGGAGGGAAAGGGUUGUACUGAGGCCUGGAUGAAUUAUUUCUAAAUGCUGUGAAUGUCUGCUUCUAAUCUGGCCCUCACAAUGCAACACAUGAGAUGCUCAUCCUUGGAACCCAGCCACCAUUGCUCUGAAGAAGCACAUGCCAUGUGGAGAGGCCCCUCGUUCUCAGGCCUGGCUGAGGUCCCAGCUGACAACUUGCAGGCCAUAUGAAGGCUACAUUGGAAACAGAUCCUCCAGCCCUAAGUCUGGCUGCCUGACUGAGGCUGCAUGGAGCACAGAUAGUUCCAUAUUGGCAACAGGAUCAUCUUUUUGCCUUGGGUCCCACACCUUCACAGUUCCUGUUGUGAAUACAACUUCUUUUGAGCCCUUAAUGAGCACUGCCAUCAUUCAACUUGGAACUCAAAGUCCUGAGCACACUCAGUGAUUCUCAGAGAUGAUCUAUCUAGGACCUCUGCACAUGACUUACCAGGUGAGCUUACUAAUAAAUACAGAUUCCUGGGCUCCUCCACAGAUGUAAUGGAUAAACAGCCCCAAAUCUGCUGACUCUUUGGUCCACUGAAGUCUGAUAAUCACUACUUUAAACAUAGAGUAAAUUCAAAGUGAUUUAGAAUGUUUCCAAAGUAGUCCUUGGUAGUCUGAUCUUGAGAUCUUUUGGAAGGAUAAAAUAUGAGUAGUGUUUACUUUGUAUAUGUUUCUUCCUUUAUAAUGUAUUAUUUUCUCACUAAAUUCCUUACUAUUUUCAUCUAGUUACAUAUUUUUCAGUGUACCAUCAUGCUGGGCACAGCAAAUCUACAGUCGAACUGGCUGAAGUUUGUCUAAAUCCAGGUUAGUUAAGAGAAAGGAAUGCAGGAAAGCACCCACUACUGUGGGUGUCUGAGUCUACCCAAGAUGGCAGGGUGAUGAAUGGCUCAAGUAAGUUAUGUUAAUACACCCCUUCUCCUGCCUCCCUCUUUUCUCCUGGAGCUUCUAUCCACAUUUCUCUUUAACAAGUCAGUUUUUGAUAACUUAUACUUAAAAAAAAAAAUGAAGAUAGCUAUUCACGAAAUGUAAUCCCAACUUAUUACUAGGCCAAGAUUUAUUAGUAAAAUCUUCCUAAUUAAAAUUUCAGAUAGCUCAACCUGGGAGACCAUGUUUAUUUUUGUAGCAUCAUUGUGAAAGAAUCAGGACUAAACAGGACUGAGAUUCCACUUCAAAGAAUUGCUUUACUGUUUGACUUUAAAAUACUGCUUUUUACAACACAAAAUUAUAAGACUUAACAAUGAAAAUAAAUCAGUAAUACCUGUGACUAUGCUAGGAAACUCUAUUAGGGAGACAGUCAAUAGUUAUAUUUGUUGCUUAGUCUUAUGCUGAAAUAUGUUAUUUUUAAAAAGAACAUUCAGACUGGUUUCUCCCAAGUUCUCUGAAAGUAUAUGUAAGAACUGAUGCAUUCUAAUAAAUGCUAACUUAAUUAUUAAGCAGUUAAAGCAAGGGGAAUUAAAAUAGCUUCAUUCUAUUUUAUGAUUCAUGUCAGUAAUUUAAUAAGAAAGCAACAGAUUCUAAGUGAGAAUCAAGAAAGGUCACCUUAGAAAACAUGAAGUAGAGAAGAUAGUUUCUUUCUAGAACAUUACUAUAUACUAUAAACAGUAAAAAUAAGACAUAUUCUUGAAAAGUAAUUGAGGAAUUUCAGUUCAUGCAAUCUAAGUAGGAAAUAACUAAAGGUAGAACAUGAAAAUUAUAAGCAUUUGGCAUAAUUACGGUCUUGUUCAUUUGCAACAGGUUUACAUUGAUUUGCUCAAUAGAUGUGUUCCUAAAAAGUUGUGCUUAGAUGUGCAGAAUUUUUUUAAUGAAUUGGGAAUUCUACAUUAAAAAAUUCAAACAAAGAAAAACUCAGUGUAUCGUUCUAUAAUGCCAAAUGUCUCACUGAAAUAUAAACAGUAUCUUAAAUUUUCCAUGUUUUACAUGUGUGGGGAAUAGCCCUUUAUGUACAAAUACAGGGGAUUAAAUGCUAGCACCAAACAGCAUGUGUGGAAAUAAAUAUUGGUAACAUUAUUCAAACUAGCUAAAGAAAAACAGUAUUUUUAAAUGGAUUUUGAAUAUGAAAUCUAGAAAUAUAUAUUAAAGGACAAUUCUUACAUUUUUAUAAAUAGUUAAAAUUGAACAAGGAACAUUUUAAAAUAAGAAACCUCCCUUUCAGAGGAAGAGUAACAAGACUAUCAAGGAAACUGCCUAUCUUGCGUCUUAAUAUUGACUAAAUAAUCUUACCAUAUAUGAAGGUUUCCAGCAAAAUCUCCAGUAGCUAAAUAUCUCUGCUGUAAAGAUGUUGCACCAAAUGUUCCACACUUAAUGGGUUUGGCCUUUUCAAUCUUGACAGAGGGAAGGAAAGAGGAUACAUUAUUUAUGUAAGCAGCUAUUUAUAAUUCAUGAUAUUUAUGGCUCUACUAUGGGCCUUAAAUAAGGCACAUAAUAUAAAAAGCAAUGAAAAAAUUUUCUGAUCAAAAUUAUGCUUUUCCUUUCAUCACUUUUCUGUAGUUUAAAAGUGUGUAACUGUCAAAAAGAAUGAGUUUUAAUUUUGCCUUUGCUCUCAUCUCACUAAUGAGACAUUCAGAUGCUGACAAGUGCACCAUCUCCAUUGGUUUGCAAAUGUGAACAUUUCAACAUUUCAUGUGGUAUUCUUCUCUAAGAUCCUCAGUAGGAAUAAGAACAUAAUGAAGAUGUUAUUCUUUCCAGAUGGCUACAGGAACAAAAAUGUUCAUGUGUCUCUUAUAGUUUUCCCUGCAGAACCCUAUAAACUGAGAGUGUUUAUGUCACUAUUCUCUCUGGGACCUUGUCAAUGCACACAGAUUUGUAGAUGUGUGAGUGCCAAAGGCACUGCUAUUGCUAUGGAUUAGCCAAUAUUUUGAAGUUUCUUUAAAAAGCUCUGUUCCAAGUAUUGCAUAUAAUCCCAUUAGUAAAACAACCACAUACCAAUGCACUAGUUAAGGUACAUGGCUUAAGGAAAUCAAGUCUAGACCAUAUUAUCAAAAAUAUCCUAAGAAAUGAUAUCAUACAGGGGCGCCGAAGGUUGGCUCAGUCAGUAAAGGGGCCAACUCUUGAUUUCGGCUCAGGUCAUGCUCUCACUGUUGGUGGGAUCAAACCCCAUGUCUGGCUCUACGCUGACAACAAGGAGCCUGCUUGGGAUCCUUUCUCUCUCUCUCAAAAAUAAAUAAACAUUAAAAAAAAAAAGAAAUGAUAUCAUACAAUACCCUCCUGUCAUAGGCAAAGAG